GCCUGGGUGGCUCAGUCGGUUGAGCGUCCUGGCUUCGGCUCAGGUCAUGCAUGAUCUCACAUUCCGUGGGUUCGAGCCCCGCAUCGGGCU
rnacentral:tRNA from 1 species